AGAGUUUGAUCAUGGCUCAGAACGAACGCUGGCGGCGUGGAUAAGACAUGCAAGUCGAACGGGGCCAUCAGAGUAGCAAUAUGAUGAUGGUUCAGUGGCGAACGGGUGCGUAACACGUGGAUACAUUCCGGGAAGCGGGGGAUAGCCCAGGGAAACUUGGAUUAAUACCGCAUGUGAUCGAAAGAUCAAAGACGGGGACCGCAAGGCCUGUCACUUCCCGAUUGGUCCGCGGCCUAUCAGCUAGUUGGCGGGGUAAAAGCCCACCAAGGCGACGACGGGUAGCUGGUCUGAGAGGACGACCAGCCACACUGGAACUGAGACACGGUCCAGACACCUACGGGUGGCAGCAGUCGAGAAUCUUUCACAAUGGGGGCAACCCUGAUGGAGCGACGCCGCGUGGAGGAUAAGGUCUUCGGAUUGUAAACUCCUGUCAUGUGUGAACAAGGCAGCCGGGCUAAUACCUUGAGCUGAUUGAUGGUAACACAAGAGGAAGAGACGGCUAACUCUGUGCCAGCAGCCGCGGUAAUACAGAGGUCUCAAGCGUUGUUCGGAAUCACUGGGCGUAAAGGGUGCGUAGGUGGCGUGGUAAGUCAGAUGUGAAAGCCCGGGGCUCAACCUCGGAAUUGCAUCCGAUACUGCCGUGCUUGAGUACUGGAGAGGUGACUAGAAUUCUAGGUGUAGCAGUGAAAUGCGUAGAUAUCUAGAGGAAUACCAAAGGCGUAGGCAGGUCACUGGACAGUUACUGACACUGAGGCACGAAGGCCAGGGGAGCAAACGGGAUUAGAUACCCCGGUAGUCC
rnacentral:rRNA from 1 species